GCCUCUGUAGCUCAACGGAUAGAGCAGGCCUCUCCUAAGGGCAAGAUGGGGGUUCAAUUCCCUCCGGGGGCA
rnacentral:tRNA from 4 species